rnacentral:rRNA from 1 species
CAGUAGCCGCGGUAAUACGAAGGGGGCUAGCGUUGUUCGGAUUUACUGGGCGUAAAGCGCACGUAGGCGGAUCGAUCAGUCAGGGGUGAAAUCCCAGAGCUCAACUCUGGAACUGCCUUUGAUACUGUCGAUCUGGAGUAUGGAAGAGGUGAGUGGAAUUCCGAGUGUAGAGGUGAAAUUCGUAGAUAUUCGGAGGAACACCAGUGGCGAAGGCGGCUCACUGGUCCAUUACUGACGCUGAGGUGCGAAAGCGUGGGGAGCAAACAGGAUUAGAUACCCGGGUAGUCCCUGUCUCUUAUAC